CAAGAGCUAAACAUAAGCUCGAUAUUGCUCGGGUCCUGCUAACGAGGUACACCUUACUUUUCUGAUUCUGAGCGGUCUUACAAGUUCGUUCCUGGCUUCGUUACGCUGGAGAAGAGUGUAUUUCGUGUAUUCUGCAAGUAUUCCACAAUUCCGUUGAAUCUACCAGUGAUGUUCGAUAGACUCGAAGUUGUUUGUGAACUUCGGAACCGGUUACUGAAACCAAUAAGCUUCACUGAAACUCUUUCGAGGAACCUGGAAUUCGGACGUGGAAAUUUCAAUCAGAAUGAAGUAAUCUACCAUUAGUGACAAGUGAAACCUUAUUCAAUCCAGACAGAAUCCAGGUGUGUCAAGAAAGAUGAAUAAAGAAAAAUAUGGCUAUGCGAAGUAAAGAUGUGCAGAGCGCGCCUUCAGACGAUGGUUGAGGAGGACCCAUUAGGAAUACUAUCUUCAAAAGGGGAACGUAUUCACAGAGCUGAUUUGCAUAAAGUGAAGUCCAAACAAGAAACUGAGAGAGUUGAUUGCGACAAUAUUCUUUAAAAGAUGAGGCAUUGGCAAGACCCCCAGAAAUAGUUUAUUACAGUAAUAAAGUAUUCGUCGGUGGCAACAGCAGGGUGUUAGGUCAAAUAUUUCUAAUUGAAAUAUGGAGUAUUUCAGAGAGGACUUCAACUGGCAUGACUAAACUAACACUAUUGUUAGUUUUUCAUAAUGCCGUACAAAACUCGACUACGUGCCAACAUCCGAAUAUAUGGAAAUUAAUAAAUAUACCAAGGUUGAAGGAGAUUUUGGCGCAUCAAAAGUUUUAUUUGGAACGGGAAGGGAAAGUUAUUUUAAAGCUGGUUUGCAAUGUGUGCAAAAAGCUGCUGAUAUCUUUGCUUGAAAAUGAUUCAUGCCAAAAUGCCUUAAAAGCUGUGGAAGGCUGUCAUAUAAACUGAAUUAUUUUAGUCAAUUCCGUUUUAUUUUCUUUAAUUCUUUUAGUUUUCAUUGACCCCCCAAAAAGGUUGUUUAUAAAUUUUUUUUCUUUCAAAAUUAAAUCCUCAAUUUAUAUAUGGUAGUUGUCCUAAUCAGUUAGUUGUCCUAAUCAGUUAGUUGUCCUGGCACGAGGCUUUUUAACUAAAGGAGUGUUAACCCCUCUGCCUUAAGAUUUAAGUCGGUGAUUUAAGUGAAUAUUCAGAUCUGUUAAGUCUCGACGUAUUAGCUUUUUGAAUACAAACAUCAUGGUUUUUAUGAAUUGGUUAUGGUGUUUUACACUUGCCAAAAUUUUUAUAGUAAUACCAAAAAGAAUUUCCUUUGGUCGGAUUUGAUCUGACGUUUGUGCUAGGGUGAUUAAAUUUGAGACAGAGAAGGGACUCUUAAAAAGGGAACAAAAUUCCUAAGUCUUGGCUUAAAAGUUAGCGAUCUUCAUACGCAUUUAUAUGUAUACAUAUAAAUAAAAUCCUCUUAAUAAAAUCCUAUAGUACUAAA